rnacentral:rRNA from 1 species
AAUAUUGGACAAUGGGGGAAACCCUGAUCCAGCCAUCCCGCGUGUAUGAUGAAGGCCUUCGGGUUGUAAAGAUCUUUUGGCAGAGAAGAAAAGGUAUCCCCUAAUACGGGAUAGUGCUGACGGUAUCUGCCGACUAAGCACCGGCUAACUACGUGCCAGCAGCCGCGGUAAUACGUAGGGUGCAAGCGUUAAUCGGAAUUACUGGGCGUAAAGCGUGUGUGGGCGGUUCGGGAAGAAAGAUGUGAAAUCCCAGGGCUCAAACCUGGAACUGCAUUUUUAACUGCCGAGCUAGAGUAUGUGAGAGGGAGGUAGAAUUCCACGUGUAGCAGUGAAAUGCGUAGAUAUGUGGAGGAAUACCGAUGGCGAAGGCAGCCCCCUGGGAUAAUACUGACGCUCAGACACGAAAGCGUGGGGAGCAAACAGG